rnacentral:rRNA from 1 species
UACGUGGGGGGCAAGCGUUGUUCGGAAUUACUGGGCGUAAAGCGUGCGUAGACGGUUAUUUAAGUCGGAUGUGAAAGCCCCGGGCUCAACCUGGGAAUUGCAUUCGAGACUGAAUAGCUAGGGUACGGUAGAGGGAAGCGGAAUUUCCGGUGUAGCGGUGAAAUGCGUAGAUAUCGGAAGGAACAUCAGUGGCGAAAGCGGCUUCCUGGACCAGUACCGACGUUCAGGCACGAAAGCGUGGGGAGCAAACAGG